AACGCGAAGACAAGUUACGUGAUCUUGACAUCCAGAGCACUUUCCAGAGAUGGAUUGGUGCCUUCGGGAACUCUGAGACAGGUGCUCCAUGGCCGUCGUCAGCUCGUGUUGUGAAAUGUUGGGUUAAGUCGCGCAACGAGCGCAACCCUUAUCCUUUGUUCCAGCGGUUAGGCCGGGAACUCAAAGGAGACUGCCCGUGAUAACCUGGAGGAAGGUGGGGAUGACGUCAAGUCAUCAUGGCCCUUACGAGUAGGGCUACACACGUGCUACAAUGGCGCAUACAAAGAGAAGCGACCUCGCGAGAGCAAGCGGACCUCCUAAAGUGCGUCGUAGUCCGGAUCGGAGUCUGCAACUCGACUCCAGAAGUCGGAAUCGCAUAGUAAUCGUAGAUCAGAA
rnacentral:rRNA from 1 species